rnacentral:rRNA from 1 species
CAGUAGCCGCGGUAAUACGUAGGGUGCAAGCGUUAAUCGGAAUUACUGGGCGUAAAGCGUGCGCAGGCGGUUAUAUAAGACAGAUGUGAAAUCCCCGGGCUCAACCUGGGAACUGCAUUUGUGACUGUAUAGCUAGAGUACGGCAGAGGGGGAUGGAAUUCCGCGUGUAGCAGUGAAAUGCGUAGAUAUGCGGAGGAACACCGAUGGCGAAGGCAAUCCCCUGGGCCUGUACUGACGCUCAUGCACGAAAGCGUGGGGAGCAAACAGGAUUAGAUACCCGGGUAGUCCCUGUCUCUUAUAC